rnacentral:rRNA from 1 species
GACGAACGCUGGCGGCGUGCUUAACACAUGCAAGUCGAACGCUGAAGCUCAGCUUUUGUUGGGUGGAUGAGUGGCGAACGGGUGAGUAACACGUGAGUAACCUGCCCCCUUCUUUGGGAUAACGCCCGGAAACGGGUGCUAAUACUGGAUAUUCACUGGUCUUCGCAUGGGGGUUGGUGGAGAGGGUUUUUCUGGUGGGGGAUGGGCUCGCGGCCUAUCAGCUUGUUGGUGGGGUGAUGGCCUACCAAGGCUUUGACGGGUAGCCGGCCUGAGAGGGUGACCGGUCACAUUGGGACUGAGAUACGGCCCAGACUCCUACGGGAGGCAGCAGUGGGGAAUAUUGCACAAUGGGCGCAAGCCUGAUGCAGCGACGCCGCGUGAGGGAUGGAGGCCUUCGGGUUGUGAACCUCUUUCGCUCAUGGUCAAGCCGCAACAAUGGUUGUGGUGAGGGUAGUGGGUAAAGAAGCGCCGGCUAACUACGUG